rnacentral:lncRNA from 1 species
GGGUGUUGCUAAAUACAGUUCAAUUUUACUUUGUGCAGUUCGUGGAGAUUACAGAUAUAACCCUUGGCUUAUUGAAUGUGGGCGACUGUAAUAAAUAGGUUUUGGUGAUUACAAUGUGUUUACCGGGUGACAUAAAGACUGUGCUACAACACUACUCCGUAAACUUUAAACUUGAAACAAUUUUUUAUUAUAUAAUUUUAAAUUUUAAAAUGUUUAAAUUUUAUUUCUUAAACAUGCAUUCUUUUCAAAAAUAUAUUAUAAGAUAUAAUUAUCACGUUUUCAAUAAUCUAUUAGUUUGGGAUAUUUGAUAUUAUGAAUUUAUAAAAUUAUUGACUAUUAAAGGAUCAUUCAUUUUUAUUAAUUUUUAAAUGUAUUUAAAAUUUUGUACAAAGAGUAAUUUUUAAUCACAAGAAAAAUAAUAAAAGUUACAAAGAAAUUAUUAAAAAAAUACUUUCAUAAUAUAUGGUCAUCUUUAUUUUUGGAUGAAUUAAUAUAUAUAANCCGCGUAGGCAUUAUUACCACUCCAGCAUCCAGCAUUUCAUUUUCAUAAUAGUCCAAAGUACAAUUAUGGAUUUUCUCGUAGUCUUAAGGAAUCUAUAUUAAAUAACCAGAAAGCCAAAUUUGUGGUAUUCAUAUAGUACAGAGUUAUGUUGGCAGUGGAGAUUAAUUUGCACUUAAAUGGACCUCAGUUUCAGAUGUUCAAAAUUUUGAAAAGAACAAUCUAAAUUACCAAGAGAAACGGCAAGUGCCAGAACUUGAAACAUACUCGCAAACACUGAAGCAAUGGUGAAGUCUACUAGCAGGACUACAAUGAGUUUAAGUUUAUAACCGAAUCAACAUUCGAAGUUCAAACUAUAAUAACAAAUCAGGGCCUACAUUGUCUCUCUCAAUCAGUCUUCAAUCUUUAUACACCAAAACAGUAAGGGCCCUAAAAUUGCGAAAACUCGAAAAAAAACGAACCUGGCAUAAGGGCAUUCUCAGAAAAGUAAGUAGACUUGGCGAGAACAGGCAACAACAAGAGGGCCAAAACCCCUGUUACACAGCACACAAUACUGAAACACCCCAACAAAACAAUUAAUUGUUACUCAUUGUCAUCAAAUCCCAUUAAAAGAACAAGAAGUAUACAAAAGAGUUCAAGUCACAACAAGAAUGAUGUGCGAAAGAGAGUACCUGACAAGGGUGCUGUGAGAGAUGAUGAACAAUCCAAUACGGAUAAUUGGGCGUGGUUUCACUCUGCCUGCAACCGUUUCCGCCAUUACAAGUUCAGAUUUCAACUCAGGCGAAGUAUGUUGAUCUGAAUCAACGCUAAACUCUAAAGUCUAAACCCCCAAUUUGUUUUUUAGUUUUAAGAUUACUGGUAUUUGUAAUUGUAACUUGUAAUCGUAUAAGUUAGCACAAGGACUUUUAUCAUUUUAAUUUAAUUACAGAAAUAGAGAUAAGCUGAAUUAUAUCAAUAGUAUGCAGAUUUUAUAGGGUGUUGCUAAAUACAGUUCAAUUUUACUUUGUGCAGUUCGUGGAGAUUACAGAUAUAACCCUUGGCUUAUUGAAUGUGGGCGACUGUAAUAAAUAGGUUUUGGUGAUUACAAUGUGUUUACCGGGUGACAUAAAGACUGUGCUACAACACUACUCCGUAAACUUUAAACUUGAAACAAUUUUUUAUUAUAUAAUUUUAAAUUUUAAAAUGUUUAAAUUUUAUUUCUUAAACAUGCAUUCUUUUCAAAAAUAUAUUAUAAGAUAUAAUUAUCACGUUUUCAAUAAUCUAUUAGUUUGGGAUAUUUGAUAUUAUGAAUUUAUAAAAUUAUUGACUAUUAAAGGAUCAUUCAUUUUUAUUAAUUUUUAAAUGUAUUUAAAAUUUUGUACAAAGAGUAAUUUUUAAUCACAAGAAAAAUAAUAAAAGUUACAAAGAAAUUAUUAAAAAAAUACUUUCAUAAUAUAUGGUCAUCUUUAUUUUUGGAUGAAUUAAUAUAUAUAAAUAUAUAUAUAUAUAUAUAUAUAUAGAGUUAAGUUCCAUGGAGCACAUAAAAACAUUGGAGUAUUGGAGUACAAAUCAUAAUUUUUUAGUUUGAUCCUAUAUAAUAUCUUUGAUUAUCCAAAUUUUGAUAUAAUCAAUCAUUUAUAAGUUGUCCUGCACAUAAUUGUCAAUUAAUCAUUAAUAUCUUUCAACUUUAACAAGUAUUAAGAUUAUUGUUCUGCUUAUUAGUUAUAUUGCAGAAUAUAGAGUCCUAUGAUUUAUAAAAGUAAUUAUUCUACCAUUUGAUCACGAUGUUUAUGUUGCAGAACAUAAUGUGCAGGUUGUCAAAUAUUUACAAAUAUUAUUGGACAAAAAAAAUUGAAAUUUAGAUGACUAGAUUACAUUUUAUCAAACUUUGUACUCCAAUACUCCACUUUUUUUUGUACUCCAUAGAACUUAACUCUAUAUAUAUAUAUAUAUGGUGCACUAUAACACAUACACAUUUUCUCUAACCAAGGUCUAAUUACCN